UAAACCAAAUUGAUAAUAGGUCCCAAAUUAAAAUAAAAAAUCUAAACUAGCUUACAAGAUCUUUAAAUUUUAUUUUAAGGCUCUUGAAUAAGAGCAAAGUCAUAACAGCUCCUCAGGAACCACUAAACUAUAAGGGUAAGGGAAGCGGCUUUAGAAUAUUGGAGAUUGAUUUGCACCUACCUCAGAUCCAUAGCUUACAGAUGCCUUAAAUGAUUUUCUGAAGAUUCAGUAACACUUUUAGUAUCCUAAUCAUUGCCAAUGAAUUCAACUGGAUUCUGUUUCUUCACAGGAAUGGCCAUUGAAGAUAUUAUUUGUACAAAUUCAGCAUUAGGAUCUAAGAGUACUUUAACAGACCUUAGAUCCACCUCAGUAAAAUACAACUCUGAUUGGAGGCAAAGAAUCCUAAUUAAAGGUCUAUUAUUCCCAAAUAUAAAGAAUAGAACUUACAGAUCUAGUUCUCUUACUGGCAUCAGAGAUUCUAGCAAAUGGUCUAGAGAUAACUAAUUGAAAAAAUGUGUUCCAGUAGCUGAAAGAUUCUGGUACUAUUAUUUUCACUUUUAGCCCAAAAACAUGAAUCAUUCAGAGAGUUACUAUCCAGAGAUUUGUUUUUAAGAAUCAUACAGAUCUAAAAAACUGGAAGAAGAAAAACAGCCAUUACCCGAUUAUAUUCCAAUACAAAUAGAAGAUUAAAUACAAGGUUUUGCCUAGUGCCUCAAAGAGAUCAUUCAUGAUACUGCAUCUUUUGCUAUCCCAAUACCAUUAUCAGUACCAUCAUUAUGAUACUUACAUUAGUUUGGAUAGAACCAGAGCUUCUUUAGCCAGAGCAACAGGGAUAGGGAACCUCAAUUUUAUCCCAGAGCUUC
rnacentral:lncRNA from 1 species